rnacentral:rRNA from 1 species
GGAUUAGAUACCCUGGUAGUCCACACUGUAAACGGUGCAGACUCGAUGCGGGGGACGAUCCCCACCGUGUCUAACCCAACGCGUGAAGUCUCCCGCCUGGGGACUACGUCCGCAAGGCUCAAACUCAAAGGAAUUGACGGGGGCCCGCACAAGCGUUGGAGUAUGUGGCUUAAUUCGAGGCAACGCGAAGAACCUUACCCGGGCUUGACAUAUUCCGGACCGCCUGUGAAAGCAGGUUUUCCCCUCGGGGACCGGUAUACAGGUGCUGCAUGGCUGUCGUCAGCUCGUGCCUUGAGCUGUUCGGUUAAGUCCGGCAACGAGCAGCAACCCGUAUCGUCAGUUGCCAUCAGGUAAUGCUGGGCACUCAGGCGAGAAUGACCGUGUCAAGCGGGAGGAAGGAGCAGGACGACGUAAAGUCCGUAUGGCCCUUACGCCCAGGGACUGUACACGUGCAACAAUGGGCGGUACAGUGGGAAGCGAAACCGCGAGGUGAAGCGAAUCCCCAAAACCGCCCCCAGUUCGGAUCGGAGU